CGGACGUAUCACGUUGAAACAUUGGCUCCCGUACGAUCACCGAAGUUAAGCAACAUCAAUCAAGCUCACUACCUAGAUGGGUAACCGCUUGGAAAUACCAGGUGCUGUGA